rnacentral:rRNA from 1 species
GAUGAACGCUGGCGGCGUGCCUAAUACAUGCAAGUCGAGCGGUAAGGCCACUUCGGUGGUACACGAGCGGCGGACGGCUGAGUAACACGUAGGAACGUACCCCAAACUGAGGGAUAAGCACCAGAAAUGGUGUCUAAUACCGCAUGUGAUCUUCGGAUUAAAGCUUCGGCGGUUUGGGAACGGCCUGCGCAUGAUUAGCUUGUUGGUGAGGUAAUGGCUCACCAAGGCGACGAUCAUUAGCUGGUCUGAGAGGAUGAUCAGCCAGACUGGGACUGAGAACGGCCCAGACUCCUACGGGAGGCAGCAGUAGGGAAUUUUCCACAAUGGACGAAAGUCUGAUGGAGCAACGCCGCGUGCAGGAUGAAGGCUUUCGGGUCGUAAACUGCUUUUAUAUGUGACGAUUAUGACGGUAGCAUAUGAAUAAGGAUCGGCUAACUCCGUGCCAGCAGCCGCGGUAACAC